AAGGCAUGUAGCUCAAGGGCUCAACCCUCAAGGAAGGUGGUGAUUACAUUUUCAGGUCUUUGGCCAGUUCGACGGUGACCAUCCUGAGAAAUGGCAUUCAGAUUGCUUUUGGCUGCCAGAUGCUCUUCUGCUGCCACCAAAUAUUUUCACGAAUGUUUCAAAAUCAAUCAAAUCAAUCAAAGAACUUUACAAUGAAAGAGAUAGUGAAAAAGCUAAAUAUGAUUAUGAAAAGAUAAAAAUGCAAGAAACUAUUUCCCAGUUGGCAAAACUUACUGAUUUUCUCCAAGAGAAAACUGAGAAUAUGGAAAAGAAAAAAAAGGCCUAUUGCUCGAUUGUUUGAGAAGAAAGAUGCACCUCAACAACUUCCACAAAGCAGAGAUUUGGAAAAAAUGUUCGAAACUGAAAGAAGUCGUUGUCGAAGGCUGCAAGAUCAAUUGAGUCAAGCUAGAGCAGAAAAAAUGUCAUUGCAGAGACAGAGUAUGUGAAGAAUUGAGUAUAUUUUAUUUGAUCUGUAUCUAUUUUGCCAUUAUUACAUAGUUUGUAACUCUCAUUAUUCCUUAAAAGGACUUCUUAUAUUUAAUGUUAUUGCUUAAAAAAAUUAG